rnacentral:rRNA from 1 species
GUAGGUGGCAAGCGUUGUCCGGAUUUAUUGGGUUUAAAGGGUGCGUAGGCGGCCCUGUAAGUCAGUGGUGAAAUAUCUCAGCUUAACUGAGAGGGUGCCAUUGAUACUGCAGGGCUUGAGUACAGAUGAGGUAGGCGGAAUUGACGGUGUAGCGGUGAAAUGCAUAGAUAUCGUCAAGAACACCGAUAGCGAAGGCAGCUUACCAAGCUGUAACUGACGCUGAGGCACGAAAGUGUGGGGAUCAAACAGGAUUAGAUACCCUGGUAGUCCACACUGUAAACGUUGAUGACUCGAUGUUGGCGAUACACAGCCAGCGUCCAAGAGCAAUCGUUAAGUCAUCCACCUGGGGAGUACGCCGGCAACGGUG